AUGUGCAUCGUGGAUUUAUACUGAAAGCAUUAAUAAAGUAACUACGUAAUAAGUAUUUGUUUACACAACCUUUCAGCAUUUGUAUGAAUGCUACCUACUACUUAUUAUUCUGUGGAUAUGGAGAUUCUACACGACUAUUGUUGUUGUUUAUGCCGUAAAUAAUUAACACUUAUGAAAUUUGAAUUUUUGUAUAUUUCCGUGCCAUUUACCUAAGUAUAUAAUAAUCACGAAAAUGUAUACAGAAUAGAAAAUUUUUGUAAAAAUAUGAUUUAACGGAAGAAAACUAUAAGCAAAACAUGCGACAAACAAAAGAAAGAGAGUUUAAUCAAAGAAUGACAUACCAAAAUCAAAAGUGGUGGUGGUGAUAAAUAAAAACAAAGAGAAGCAAGAAAAAAAAAACAGUAACCGUGCUAACAAAAUCAUAUAAGCUCUAUGCAACGCCAAAGUAUUCUGAUAGCAUGCUGUUAAUAUACAAACUAUAUGAAAACAUUCGGAAAAACAACAAGGACUAACCAGACAUUAGCCAACCGUAUUAGUAG